rnacentral:tRNA from 6 species
ACCGAAGUAAGUUCAACAGGCAGACUCAACGAUGUAACAAUCGGUGGCGUGUAGGUUCGACUCCUGCCUUCGGUA